rnacentral:lncRNA from 1 species
UUAUGAAAUAGAAAUGAGACUUCACAUGAGUAGGACUUAAGCACAUUGUAUUAGCAAAUGAUUCAGACUUUUUCACAACACCUACUACAGGUAUAUAGCUGUUCUUGCCUUUACCAGGCUUGGGACCUCACUAACAGUUCACUAUGAACAGCAGAAAAACAAACAAAAUAUUUCACAGGUUAAUAUGAAGUUCUGCCAUUGGGCAUACGUGGGCUCCUUCUGCAUUUUAGCCCCUCAGACAAUGGUUAAAAGAAAUACUUCCUUGAAAAGAAUUUUGGCAGAAUGCCUGGUUGUGCCUUUUUUGUGGAAAGAGAAAUAAUCAGAGUUUAAGAUUUAUGCUAAAUUAUGUGCAAAGCCUAUUGGUUUGGUUAGUUGGUAAGAGGCUAGAAAGAAAAGAUUGCAGAAUUCAACAAGAAGAUAUAAUACAGGGGUAUGUGGUUACUUACAUUUCUUCAUUGCAGAUAAAUCUAUCAGUAAUUAGGGGGAGAAUACGUUCAUUCUAUUACACUUUUCUUUCCUUUUUUUUUUUAAUUAGCCUGCCAGGUACUUAUACAAUGGGCCUAUGUACAAAGUGGACGUGGCAGCAGAAUUUCAGGCCUUGGCAGAAAGACUUACAGAUGAAGGAAAAAGGAGAUACCUGACAAAGAUGAGGAAGAAAAGUUUCAAAUGCUCAGCGUUCAUCAGUACAAUAUAUGCAGUUUUCCAAUUUAUAUGUUAGCAUAUUCUCUAACAGGAUUACGUGUUUUAUGAACACACCAGAACAAAUUCUGUUGGAGUUUUAAAACUGAAAAUUAUAGCCUAAUGUAGAUUUUUAUUUGGGUCAUUUUCCAUAAUUGUUCAUUUUAAAAUUCCAAAAGGAGUUGCUUUCUAAUUGUAGUAG